GUGGGUGUAGUUCAGUGGCAGAACACCUGAUGUUUUGUACUGUCAGGAGACCGGAGUUCGAUUCUUCGCGCCCGCC